AACCUCCGCAAUGUGAGAAAUCGCGACGGGGGGAUCCCAAGUGCCAUUCUUAACGGGAUGGCUUUUCAUUAGUGUAAAGAGCUUUUGGAAUAAGGGCUGGGCAAGACCGGUGCCAGCCGCCGCGGUAACACCGGCAGCUCUAGUGGUAGCAGUUUUUAUUGGGCCUAAAGCGUCCGUAGCCGGUUUAAUAAGUCUCUGGUGAAAUCCUGUAGCUUAACUGUGGGAAUUGCUGGAGAUACUAUUAGACUUGAGACCGGGAGAGGUUAGAGGUACUCCCAGGGUAGAGGUGAAAUUCUGUAAUCCUGGGAGGACCGCCUGUUGCGAAGGCGUCUAACUGGAACGGUUCUGACGGUGAGGGACGAAAGUUAGGGGCGCGAACCGGAUUAGAUACCCGGGUAGUCCUAACUGUAAACGAUGCGGACUUGGUGUUGGGUGGCUUUGAGCUGCUCCAGUGCCGAAGGGAAGCUGUUAAGUCCGCCGCCUGGGAAGUACGGUCGCAAGACUGAAACUUAAAGGAAUU
rnacentral:rRNA from 1 species